rnacentral:rRNA from 1 species
GACGAACGCUGGCGGCGUGCCUAAUACAUGCAAGUCGAGCGGGGGACUUCGGUCCCCAGCGGCGGACGGGUGAGUAACACGUAGGCAACCUGCCCGCAAGACCGGGAUAACAUAGGGAAACUUAUGCUAAUACCGGAUAGGGUGGCCUCCCGCAUGGGAGGGUACGGAAAGAUGGCGCAAGCUAUCACUUGCGGAUGGGCCUGCGGCGCAUUAGCUAGUUGGUGGGGUAACGGCCUACCAAGGCGACGAUGCGUAGCCGACCUGAGAGGGUGACCGGCCACACUGGGACUGAGACACGGCCCAGACUCCUACGGGUGGCA